UGACCUCGAAUCAGGUAGGGAUACCCGCUGAACUUAAGCAUAUCAAUAAGCGGAGGAAAAGAAACCAACAGGGAUUACCUCAGUAACGGCGAGUGAAGCGGUAACAGCUCAAAUUUGAAAUCUGGUCCGGUUACGGGCCCGAGUUGUAAUUUGUAGAAGAUGCUUUGGUAA
rnacentral:ncRNA from 1 species